CUACCCAAAUCCAAACCCCAAUUUCGUCUCUCUUUGAAUCCCUUCUACAACCUAAACAAACCCAAACAAAACCAUUUUUUCUGAAUAUGACAGCAUGUGUUGGCAUUAGGUGGCCAUUGUUUGAGCAUUUUGGUCCAAUUUUGGGGGGUUUUGAAGUCUGGGUUUACAUGCCCUCUUCAAGAACAGCUUCUCCAGAAAAUGAAUUGUUGGGAAUAUGUAAGUUUUGAUGUUAAAUUGAACUAACUACGCAUCUUCUCACGAAGAAGAAGAUCAAGAACAACCUAAAAAACCCACAGCUUUGCCCUCAAAACCCAAUUCUUCCUCUUCCUCUUUGUUUUCUUUUCUACCCAAAUCCAAACCCCAAUUUCGUCUCUCUUCGAAUCCCUUUUGCAACAUAAACAAACCCAAACAAAACC
rnacentral:lncRNA from 1 species